GACGAACGCUGGCGGCGUGCCUAAUACAUGCAAGUCGAACGAACCGCGACUGAGUGCUUGCACUUGGUCAAGGUGAGUGGCGAACGGGUGAGUAACACGUGGGUAACCUACCUCAUAGUGGGGGAUAACAGUCGGAAACGACUGCUAAUACCGCAUAGGACAUGGAAUCACAUGAUUCUGUGAGGAAAGGUGGCGCAAGCUAUCGCUAAGAGAUGGACCCGCGGUGCAUUAGCUAGUUGGUAGGGUAACGGCCUACCAAGGCGAUGAUGCAUAGCCGACCUGAGAGGGUGAUCGGCCACAUUGGGACUGAGACACGGCCCAAACUCCUACGGGAGGCAGCAGUAGGGAAUCUUCCGCAAUGGACGCAAGUCUGACGGAGCAACGCCGCGUGAGUGAAGAAGGUCUUCGGAUCGUAAAGCUCUGUUGUUAGAGAAGAACAGCGCAUAGAGUAACUGCUAUGCGUGGG
rnacentral:rRNA from 1 species